rnacentral:rRNA from 1 species
UCUUGUAUUGCGUUGAUGUGGUACUUUAAACCUCUUCCAGAGUAUCAAUUGGAGGGCAAGUCUGGUGCCAGCAGCCGCGGUAAUUCCAGCUCCAAUAGCGUAUAUUAAAAUUGUUGCAGUUAAAAAGCUCGUAGUUGAAUUUCUGCUACAUUGCCUAUUCUCCUUUACGAGUUUGGGUCUUUUGUGGCUUAUCUGGGUUCGCUUGCGUUCCCGGUGUUUUACUUUGAGAAAAUUAGAGUGCUCAAAGCAGGCUUUUGCCUUGAAUAGUUUAGCAUGGAAUAAUAAAGUAGGACUUUGGUUCUAUUUUGUUGGUUUUAGGUACCAAAGUAAUGGUUAAUAGGAACAGU